UGCAUUUAAGGUUUUGAGAUUAUUUGGCUUUCAGAAUUUCUAGGGCUAUUACUUCCUCUUAAUCAGUCUAUGGAUUUGUUUCAUCUUCUGUUUUAGCAUUUUCUUCCUUUUCCUUUGUUUUGUCAUUGAAUCUUCAUAAUCAUAUCUCAUGUGACACGUCUUGCUGACUGAAAAUCUAAUGAUCAGUCAGGGACCAAAUUUUAAUUGCACCUUCAAGCAUAUUAAAGUUCUUAACUCAUUUUUUUCUUGUACUUUAACGGCUAGAAAUCUUGAUGUAUUUUCUUGUCAAAUUAGUUGAAUCGGAACAAUAAUGACAUGAAAAUUAUUAUGAGUGUCUUCAGUAAUAACUCUUUCUAGAUUUAUACUACUGCGUCAUGCUGUAUACUAUGGCCAUGUGUUUCUUUCAGUUUCAAAGGCCAAAAAUGCUUAUUUCAUUUUCCAUUCCACCAAUAUGGUUUAUGCCAAAAUACUAAAAAUUCAUUUGUUGUUAUGUCCUUUUCUUUUUUUUUUUUCCUUCUUUGUUCUAGAUGUUGGCUUGUAAGAUGGCCCAAGAAAGAUCACUCCUGUUGCUUCAAAGAUGCAAAUGAGGUCUGUUUCUUACCUUUGACAUUUAAGAUAUGUAGCUGAGGAUGUUUCUGAAGAGUAAGAUUUAACUGAUGAGAGGUGAUAGAAAUGAAAAAUCAAAUAUAAAGGGCAGUAUUGUAAAUUAUCAGGCUGUAGUUUACAUCAAUCUCACACGACAAACAAGAAGUUUCGCCAUGCAAAAUUUCGUUUAGGAUUGACAAAGCAGGAAAGGUGCAGAAAGACUAAAAUAAAUUAGCUUCCAUAUUUUAAGCAUUUUUCACUGUUGGACCAUGGAAACAUUUGAGGAACAGCUUGUAUGAGUCAUAAAACAAAUUCAAAGCAGAUGAGUGAAGAACAAAAGCAUAAUGUAGACAAUAGUUUGAUAUAUUCCAGCCACACAGCUAGAGUUGGGAAUCGUUGUUUAGGAAUACAUCAAAUAAAUGAAGAAAGAGAAAAGCAAAAGAAUAUAUAUUCAAUUGAACUUAUAAUCAUCCUUUUACAUAUUUAGCCCCUCUGAGUGUAGCCUUGUUCUGCUGCCAGGCAUGCAUCUUCCUCAUCCUAGGCCUUGCACUGUGAACUCCUUUUAGAGAUGCUUUCCUUGAUUUUCUCCUCCAGUGUGGGAAGAGACUAGAGAGUAGACAGAAAAAAGCUGUUUUGCUUACAAACCCAUCUUUUCUGAAACCCAUGGGAAGAUAGACGAUGUCCAUAAGCUAGUAUUUAAAAUCUUCCACGUUCAUUCUGUUAUCAUUAAGCAGCUCAUGCAGGUGCAUGUUAGCAGUGAUUCAUCUUGGUUGUAUAAUGUUACCAUUUGAAGAAGUGGAGUCCUCCAAAUUUGGUAACAAGGCCUUCUCCAAGUAAUAGUAAUAGAUCGAGUCAUUGAGUGUUCAAACUUCAGGUGGAUCAAGGUUUUUUUUUUUUUUUUUUUCCAAAUUUAUUCCAAUGUGGAAAACAUCCAAAAUUUAUUUUUAAUAUUGUUUUUUUUUUUUUUGUUUUCUAGCUGUUUCUAACCAAUGGAACUUCUUUUCCUACUAUCUCAACCUCAAGCUUAGAACUGCCAUUGAUAACAUAAUCAACAUUGUUAGAAUUUCACAUUGAUUUGGAAUAGGAUUACUAUACUCUUAUAAAGCCUUGGACCUUUAACGUAACCUUUUGAAGGCGAGUUAGGCUUGGCCCAUUUCUCAUGAUGGUAUCAGAGUUUCCUUACUUAAUGUUGGUUCUAUUAAGUGUCAUGCCUCUCGUAAGUAUAACGCUUCAGGUGUUUGAUUCUGGACGUGAAGAGGGCGUGUUAAAUUUCAUUAAGUGUCAUGCCUCUCAUAAGUAUAGCGCUCUAGGUGUUUGAUUUUGGACGUGAAGAGGGUGUGUUAAAUUUUGUGUUGGUUUAGGAUAGGCAAGUAAAUUGUUCCUUAAAUUUUCAUGCUAUAUUCACAGGGGGAAUUUAAAAUUAUCACCCCUAAUUUAAACUAUGUGCUUAUUCCUUAUAUGGCUCAUGGCCACAGGUUCUCAAGUGUUUAGGACCAAGUGCUCUGAAGGAAGUAAUUGAAACAGCAGAAUCAUAUGAAGUAUGCACUAUGAAUCAGGUGAUUUAAGGUAUGUGGUUUUAACAGUGUAAGUGCUUUAUACUAUGAGCCAGUUAAAUUUUAUAGAAAAUUUUGGACAACAGCCAUUGGUGGGGACCAUGAAACCCAUAUGUGUAACCCAUUGUGGAUUUAAGUAGGAAUGUUUGUGGCACUUCUUUGUAAUGAAAAGAAUUGUAUUAUUAUUAAUCUAAUGUAGUUUAUCCAAUUUUGGACAUGAAAGGGAGUUGCUGGAAUUUUUUUUCUCCCAACUUAGAUUGACUAGGACUUUAAACUCGAAACCUCACAACCCUGUGCUUAAAGCAUCAUAAGACUUUAUUAAAAAAAUAAUUAGCUUGUAAAGAUAAAGUUGCCCUAAAAUAAUUAGCUUGAGUAAUAAAAGAAGUGUUUCUAGUUUUUCAAUUAAGGGUAUAUUUCCAUCUCCGAUUUGUAAAUAUCUUUUAGGCUUGCUUUGGAUCCUUUCAAGAAUUCACAACUAUAUUUAACAUGUUUACCAAAUGAUAUUCACUAUGACGAAUUUCCAGAAGUAAAGAUUGUAUAAGUAUUUAAUUGAAUUCAUUUCUUUUUUAAAAUUAAAGAAUUUAUUUCUUUUUAAUUCAUAAUAUUUUCAUUUUUUUUAAAAUAUAUCAUAUAUAAUUUUAUUUAAAUUUAUUUGAAUUUUUUUUUCUCGUGAAAUGAAUGAAAAGAAUUAAUUAAGAUUUCAAUUUCACAAUCACAACAAUAAAUAUCAUUUUAGUGAAAUGACUAACAUAUGCUUAUCACUAAUUAGAGUCCUUGUAACUUCAAAACAUGCCAUUUAAUUGCAAUUUUAAAACAUGCACUUUCAAAAUCACAAUUAUUUGGUUUUUAUAAUUUACGAUAAAAUUAAUUAAAUCGUAAGAUAAUGAAAGUUGAGUUAAACUCCCUUUCUUUUAAAUGCCGGACAUUGUUCGAAGAAGAAUUGAGCACUCCUUUUAGCGUGAUGAAGACGCAAAGAAGAUUUAAUUUUGACUACCAAAAACUAAGAAAAAAAUUAUUAUAUAGUUUUUAUAGUAUCAAAAAAAAUUGAUUUAUAUAAUUUGAAAAUUACAUUUAAACAUUUAUACAUUUUAAAAAAUUUAUUAGUCAGCCAUUCUGUUAAUUUUAAUCGUUAAAUAUUAUUAAAAAGCCUAAAUCAUAUGAAGGAUCUAUUUAAUAAAUGUUUAAAAACUUAAAAGAUUAAUUAAUAAAUUUUUUUAAAAUUAUAAGAAUUAAAUAGUAAAAUAUUUAAUAAUUAAAAUUAAUGAAAGAACUAAUUAGUAUAUUUUUAAAAUUAUUAGAAUUAUUUUAAUAUAUUUUUAAAAAUGAAAAAAUUAAUCAAUGAAUUUUUUCAUAGCGACUAAAUAGCAAUUUUUUGAAAGACUAAAUAAAGUCAUCACUUCUCAUUAUUUUAAACUGUGAGUUAUGGAAUAUUUAAUUUAUUUGACCUGUGAAAGUUUAGAAGUAAAUUUAAAUUAAAAAAUAAUAUUUUUUUUAAUAUUCUUAAGCUGCCGUAUAGUUCAGGGUAAAUUGAUAUUUUUUUUAUUAAUUUAUUUCUUAAUGUCAUAAUUCAAUCUUAUGACUAGGUCAUCGUUAUGUAAAUGCCAUGAAGAUGCAUGAUAAGGACUACAUGAAGCUAGAGAGUCCUUACUUUAAUUAGGACUAGCUAAGGAUCUCUGGGACCUGGAGAGAGAAUUCUCUGUCGUUUACGAAUUGUAUUCUUCUAGAGAUUAUAUUUUGCAGCGCUACCUGCGACAUGAAGGUAUCUGAUCUCCUUGGUGGCAACGUCUGCAUAGUUCUUGCUUGAGAUGUGGGGUUGUGUUUUUGGAGUGGCAUAUCCAGUUUAGCGCAAGUAUCCCUGGACUUUUCUCUUGUAUGGACUUGGUUUUUGGUUUCCUUAGCUAGGUUUUUACUAUGAUGAGCUGGUUCACAUUGUCAUAAUCCCAGCCUUUUAAGAUUUUAAUUAUCUUUCGCCAAAAAUAAAACUACAUAAAUUAGGUAUAAUCUAGGCAUUCUAGCUAUAAAAUUAUUAAAAAAAAUUACUUAGACAUGUCCAUAAUAAAUUAUUACAUGCUGAAACUUAUUUAUAUUAAGUGAAAAAAUGUUUGCAUUUUAACCCCACCAGCAAAAAUUUCCCAGAAUGAAAAUGGUAAUGUGUCUACGUUCCGAUUUUGGUUUCACAGGCAGUAAAUAACUCUUAUUUUUUUUUGGGAUUGGUCCUUCAGCGUCGAAUAGGAGCAGACAAGUUAUAUUGAGCUUGCUGUGAAGGUUGGUUGCUGCUGAUGUUAGAAGGACAGAGAGACAUACAUAAAAAGUGGCAUGUGCCCGUUGUUUGAUUUUCUUGGCAAUGUAGAGGUGGUGNNNNNNNNNNNNNNNNNNNNNUUUUUUUUUCAGAUUUGAAGUGCUAAGAAUAUUAAAUAUUAACUCAUUUUAUAUAGAUUAUAAGUUGUUUUGCACCUCAAAAUGAUUGGAACUUUCAUUUCCCCACAAAGAUUACAUUGAAAGUACCGAGAAUUCCAGAGAUAAGCAUGGAAAAUAGAUAAUUUUAAGUGGCUGGCUGCACUAAAGGAUGUAUAUAUUUUAGGGUAGCAUGGACCAAAUCUUGUCUCUAUUUUGAGGGUCCACAACCGAGAGGUGCUGUAAUGAUUGUUAUAAUAUGUAAUUCUAGGUCUGUGCAAAUGAAAGGUUCGGUUUCGGACCACAUCAAACUGCUAAUAAAAGGAAACUAAUAGGUGAUUCAUAUUUAGCGUGAACUUGCCUUGAAGAAGAAUAUUGAACACAAAAUGUGAAAAUAUGGCCAUUAUAAACAGGCGUCAUCCAAAAUUCUACUCCUAAUCAUGUAUGUGGUCAAUUAACCAAAGAUCUUCAACAAAAAGAAAAAAUAACCAAAGAGGUCAGGUGCGUGCAUCCAAGAAAAAGAAAGUUAAAGGAAGAAAAAAAAGAAAGAGACUGAACCGUUAAGAAUUAAUCAAUCACACAAUCAAAGAAUAAACACGAAAAAAGAAAAAAUAAACACACAAAUUUGAUGUAAUUCACCAAUAUGAUUGUCUAUACCAGUUAAAAUUUUCUUAUUUCUAUGUAAAUUUUCAAACUAAAUAUAUUAAAAGAAUAUUAUAUAUUUAUAUGUCCAGAGAAAAUUUUAAAAAAGAUAAAAUAAUUCUAAAAAAAUUAGAAUCAGAGGCUCCACCUUCGAGCCUCUGCCUUCGGGCGGGUAGCUCCCGUCCCCCACACCCGACUAACUCAGCACAGAUUCAAAUCCGCUACAGUGAGUUAUGAUUUAACGUCCAUAAUAUAGUAUUAUCAUUGGGCUCUAUAUCUCAACAUGAACACCAAGCUCACAUGUAAUGAAUGAUCUACCUUUCAAAUAGCAAACAUCAGCAAAUACAAUGCAACACUAAAGAAGCCAUUUACAGGCCGCCUACUCGCUACCUCUAAAGUUAUGCAACAAGAACUAAAAUCCCAAGUGCAGCAAACAUUAACAACAUUAACUAGUAUAUGAGCAUACUUAAGGCAGAGACAUUGUUCUGAAGCAAAAUUAUAAAUGAAAAAACAAACAGAACUGCAGUAAAGAGAACUUAACCACUACCAUAAAAAUAGCAUCCAGGCAUAAAUUAUAAAUAGCAUGUCUCCGAAGUAGAUUUGGUAAGCUUAAUGAUAAUAAAGAACAGAGAUACCUUCGCUGUGUAAUACUAUGCACCAUAAGGCGAUUUUCCAAAGUAGCAAGCAAGAAAUGCAACCUAGCAUAUGAAUACAUCAUCAUCCUUAAUAGCAAGAAAGGCAACCUAGCAUAUAAAUACAUCUUCAUCAUCCUUAAUAAAUGGUCAACAGGUAAAUUCUUUUGAACCAGUCUCACAAGGAAAAACAGAAGUCCCCAAUGGGAACAGCUUUGAGGCUACAAGCCCCCAAUAACAGCAAAAGGUAACAGAUAUAUAACAGCUUACCGAUAAACUGGAAGAAAACCUCAUACUAAUUCCAUUAUAAUAGAAUGCAAUGCAUCCCAACCUACAGGCGGCACCCAGCCAGAAGAUAGCAACAACAAUGAAAUGAGAUUUAGCACAACCUUAUGAUAAAGAACUGUCUAACAUCUUAUGACAUUAAGAAUCCAUUAGCCGCUACACAAUGAAUAUCAAAGUUGUUUAAGUGAGUUAAUCCCAAAUUUCAAAUAAAAUAAACUAUAGAAGUAAAACAGAGCAGAAACUGUAAUAUCAGAACAGAGCAUAGUAAUUGUAUCAGAUAAUCCACUAAAAACACCAGCAGAGCAUUACACUUGCAACCAAAAAAGAAAACAAAAUAUCAAUCCCACUAUGUAUCCUCAAAGCUCGAAUUCUUCGUCCUUGAGAGCCAGCUCUGCAGCCUCCUCGUCCUCCUCAUCAAGAACAAAGUACUCAUUUUUCUCCACAGGCCUAAACAUAUAAAACAUCACCGCAUAAAACAAUAGACUGGCAGUCUCCUCUGCUGCAUUACUUACCCACUGGUACUUGUAUGCUGCAAUGGUCUUAAGUGCAAACACUACAAUCCUCGUAAAAUACAAGUACCCAAUUACAACAAUGUAAAACUGCCUAAACAGUUGCAAUUUGGCCAGAUUUCUAGCAGCCUUUCCAUCAGUCUUCGAUGUCUCCCUCAGAGAUCGAAUAGACCAGACAAUUGGGAAAAUAAUCGCGCAGCAACAGAUGAUAUCCACCAAUAAGAACACCUGAUUCCAGGUAACCCAAUCCUUAAUAAAGGGCCCUGUCUCCCCAAUCACCACAGAAGCCACAUUAGCCAAGACCUGAAGGGGAACCACAAUCAUUAAAACCUUCUUUUCCUUCUCUUGCAGGAAUGGCUUCAAAAACGACCAACCGGUACCAAUCAACACAAUCACCGUGAAGAGCAAAACGACACGGAUGAACUGGAAAAUGUAGAACAAAACAUCCCAACCAUGAGGAGUACCUGUAACCUUCACGUAAUGCUUAUCCUCCGCGGCACAGAUCAAGUUGAGCGCUUUCAUCAGCAGCAAUCCACCCAUUAACAAAUGGAUCCGAUGCACAGAUCGUUUAUUGGUGACGCAAAUGUAGAUCCAGAACCCCAGAAAAGCGAGGUAUGCAAUUGAGUAGAUAAAGAAAAGCGAAGGUAGCUGGGUUAAGCCAGCAGAAAGGAAAUCCUUAGAACCAUCGUGCUCGAGAUUGUAAACCUCCGUCCGAACAUUCAUGGACACGCGCGUCUCCGGAGCGCAAUUGGCGAAGAAAAGAGAGUAUUCAUUGGGGGCAGUAACGGGAUAAGAUUGCUUAAAGGAGGAGAGCGGCGGAGGAGAGAGAUCGCGGAAAGUGAAGAGAUGGAGCGUAUAGUGAGACUCGAGGACGCAGAAGUUGGGGUUUUGCUGGAUCUCGAGGAGGACUUGGAGAAGAGACUCCUCGGAGAGGAGAAAGAAGCCGAGACGAGAAGGUAUAGGAUUUGGAGCGUUGACGGAGGAGGUGACUGAGACGGAGGAGACGGAGAUGGUGACACGGCCAGUGUGCGUGAAGCCGAAUUUCUCAAAGAGGAUCAUGGGACGUGCGUCGUUGGUAAUCUUUAAGGUUUUGAUCUCGGCCGUGGUUAGAGUGGACAGGGCGAGGAUGAGGAGGAGAGAGAGGGGCAGGAAGAAUUGUUGUCUCGUCAUUUUCCCGGGAGAUUUUGGCGGUGGUGGUGGUGGAGAGAUUUAGCGAGGAGAAAUACAGAGAGAAAC
rnacentral:lncRNA from 1 species